UACGAAGGGUGCAAGCGUUACUCGGAAUCACUGGGCGUAAAGCGUGCGUAGGCGGUUUCUUAAGUCUGUCGUGAAAGCCCUGGGCUCAACCUGGGAACGGCGAUGGAUACUGGGAAGCUAGAAUGUGAGAGAGGAUGGUGGAAUUCCCGGUGUAGCGGUGAAAUGCGCAGAUAUCGGGAGGAACACCGGUGGCGAAGGCGGUUCUCUGGGCCUUACCUGACGCUGAGGAGCGAAAGCGUGGGGAGCGAACAGG
rnacentral:rRNA from 1 species